rnacentral:lncRNA from 1 species
AUAGUGAUGGCCGAAGACUUAGCUGCAGGUACCUUGAUCCCACUGGGCAAAUAUCUUCUGGGAUCUGCCUAUCAUAUGAUGCAUCAGAUCACUGCCCAUAUGCAUGAGGGAGUACAAAUAUCCUGUGUAAGUGGCCCCUAGUGGUUAGUCCAAAUGUGGUUUCAACUAUACAUGCAUUAGAUAAUUUCUGUGGAUCUUCAUAAAUUAAGCUUCCC